rnacentral:snRNA from 1 species
AGCUUUAAGCAGUGGCAAUGUCGUUGCCAAUGAGAUUUAUCCAAAGCGUGUUUAUUGCUGAUUGGAAAAUAUCUGCAUGAGUGAUUCAGAGAUGCUUUUACUAAAUCUUAUUAUAAAAUAUUAGUGUAUAUCUAGCUUCAGU